UAAACUAGGAUUAGAUACCCUAUUAUUGAAAAUGUAAAUAUACAAUACUUGAAUAUUAGUAGUUAUGUUCUUGAAAUUUAAAGAAUCUGGCGGUAUUUUAGUCUAUUCAGAGGAACCUGUCCUAUAAUUGAUAGUCCACGAUUAAUUGUACUUGUUUUUAGUUUGUAUAUCGUCGUAGGUUGAAUGUUUUAAAAGAAAAUGGAAUGUUCAAGAUUUAUAGAUAUAAAGAAAAUCAGAUCAAGAUACAGCUUAUAAAUAAGAAGAGAUGGGUUACAAUAAAUUUAUUUAUAUAGUUAAGAUAUUUAACAGUAUUUUAUAAAUUGGAUUUGAUAGUAAUAUGGUUUAGUUUAACUUUAUGAUUUUAGCUCUAAAAUAUGUACAUAUCGCCCGUCGCUCCCUCUAUAAGGAGGGAUAAGUCGUAACAUAGUAGGUGUACUGGAAAGUGUACCUAGAAUGGCAAAUUAGAGCUUGAUAGAAAGCAUUUUAUUUACAUUAAAAAGUUAGUUGUGAGAAUCAAUUUAAUUUGAAAUCAUUGUUUUAUUAUGGGUUUGUAAAAAAAAUAAUUUUGAUAUGAGUAUUAUUAAGAAAAUAAGUUUAUAAUUAUAGUGUAUAGUAUAGUGAUAGAAAUUAGAAUUAUAUGAAAUUUAGUUAGAAAAAAGAAAAGUUAAUUUUUUGUACCUUGUGUAUCAGGGUUUAUUAAAAUAAUUUAAUUAUAUUAAUAUUCUCGAAUUAAGAAGAGCUAUUAUUAUAUAUAUUUAAUUGUUGUAAAAAUUUUUAAAAUAUAAUGAUAGAAAUGAAAUGUUAUUCGUUUUUUAAGAUAUCUAGUUUUUUAAGAAAUAAAUUUAAUUUAGUUUUUUAAUAUUAUAGUAUUACUUAGUUAGUAUUAUAAUUUAAAUAUUUAAUAUUUUAAGGGAUAAGCUUUAAAAUAGAUUAUUAGAAAUUAAUAGGUAUAUAUUAAGUAUUAGUAGGAUUGGAAAUGUUUUUCUUUAGUUUGUUAUAAUUAAUACUUAAUUAGAUAUGAUUUAUAUAGAGUUUUAGGUUGUUUAUUAAAAAUAUAUAUUUAAUUUUAUAUUAUAUGAAAUAAUGAUAAAAUUAGUAUAGAAGUUUGUAUAUUUAAUUAUAAGGAUAUAGGUUAAGUUAAGGAACUCGGCAAAUAUACUUUUCGCCUGUUUAUUAAAAACAUGUCUUUUUGAUUAUAAUUUAAAGUCUAACCUGCCCAAUGAGGAGUUUAAUGGCCGCGGUAAUUUGACCGUGCAAAGGUAGCAUAAUCAUUAGUUUUUUAAUUGAAAGCUGGUAUGAAUGGUUGGACGAGAAAGUAGCUGUCUCAAUUUAAUUGAAUUAGAAUUUUAUAUAUAAGUAAAAAAGCUUAUAUGUAUUUAAAAGACGAGAAGACCCUAUAGAAUUUUAUAUUUAUAUAUAUAGAUUUUAUUUAGAACUUUAAAUUUUCUAUAUAUAUCAGUAUUUUGUUGGGGUGACAAAAAAAUUUGAUAAACUUUUUUUUUAUAUAUACAUUGAUAUAUGAGUGUAUGAUCCAUUUUUUAUGAUUAUAAGAUUAAAUUACCUUAGGGAUAACAGCGUAAUUUUUUUUUAGAGUUCUUAUCGAAAGAAAAGUUUGCGACCUCGAUGUUGGAUUAAAAUUAACUUUUGGUGCAGGAGCUAGAAGGUUAGGUCUGUUCGACCUUUAAUAUUUUACAUGAUCUGAGUUCAAACCGGAGA
rnacentral:rRNA from 1 species